rnacentral:rRNA from 2 species
ACAUGCAGUCGAACGAACUCUGGUAUUGAUUGGUGCUUGCAUCAUGAUUUACAUUUGAGUGAGUGGCGAACUGGUGAGUAACACGUGGGAAACCUGCCCAGAAGCGGGGGAUAACACCUGGAAACAGAUGCUAAUACCGCAUAACAACUUGGACCGCAUGGUCCGAGUUUGAAAGAUGGCUUCGGCUAUCACUUUUGGAUGGUCCCGCGGCGUAUUAGCUAGAUGGUGGGGUAACGGCUCACCAUGGCAAUGAUACGUAGCCGACCUGAGAGGGUAAUCGGCCACAUUGGGACUGAGACACGGCCCAAACUCCUACGGGAGGCAGCAGUAGGGAAUCUUCCACAAUGGACGAAAGUCUGAUGGAGCAACGCCGCGUGAGUGAAGAAGGGUUUCGGCUCGUAAAACUCUGUUGUUAAAGAAGAACAUAUCUGAGAGUAACUGUUCAGGUAUUGACGGUAUUUAACCAGAAAGCCACGGCUAACUACGUGCCAGCAGCCGCGGUAAUACGUAGGUGGCAAGCGUUGUCCGGAUUUAUUGGGCGUAAAGCGAGCGCAGGCGGU